GAGCAUGAUAAUCAAGUUUUCUUCCUUGUUUUAAAAUGCUGUUGCUAUAGGCUCUAGCAUAGUUUAACUGUACAAACAUAAGAGAAGCCAGUUACAGACCGCGCAGUACAUAAACUCAUCGAUAUGGAAUACUGGGCCCACGCAAGUCUACAGAAACAGGCCAGGGGCCACAGGUUUAUACUACCAGGCAUGAAUUCCCUCUCACGGAACAGGUCUCAAAUCUAACCAGAAAGUAGUUGAUUUCCCCCACUACAGUUGUGUUACUACUGUACCAGUGAACAUGUCUUACUUGGAAGGUGUGCAUGUGGUGGCCUGCUUAUCUGUCUGGUCACCAAGUGCAUGUGAUGUUUGUAGAGGCCAGAAGAAGACACAGGAUGCCGUUGGAACUGGAGUUACAGGAAGUUGUGACCUGACCAAAGUAGGUGAUGGGAGCUGAACUCGGGUCCUCAGCUGGAGAAGCAAGUACACAUAACCACCAAGUCACCUCUCAAGACUCCAAAUUUUUUUUUCUUGAGACAAGAGUCUCUUCUUUGCAUCCCUGGCUGACCUUUUAUACCAGGUUGGCCUCCAAUUCACAGAGCGCUGUCUGCCUUUGCCUCAUGCCUGGUUUGGAAAAACAACAAUUUGUUUGAAAGUAUACAAUCUCUGUAAGAAAGAAUAUUAUUGUUUGAACUUCACAUUCACUUUCACAUUGAUUAUUUAGGAGCCUCAUAACAUUCUGUGACAUUAUUUUGAAGGGUUUAAAUUUUACAACUGAAUUUAGGUUUUAGUUCUCUGAGAGGAGCAAAACAGGUGUCUCUCCCAACAAAGGGCCAUUUAUCAGCAAAACCCUCAUUCAGGAUGAGGCAGAGAGCACAUACAAGUCCUGAAUCAGCUCCACAAUGUCUCAAGGAUAAAUUCUGCAGCCCCACUUCAGAGUCAUGUCCAGACUAACUCAAGAAUGUCCAAAAAUGGUAAAACUAAACCUCAGCCAAUUAAAAGUACACUAGUGUAACUCUUGCUUGCUUGAUCAGUUAUGUUUGAGAUGACCUAACUAUUUCUGAAAUCCCCCUAGCUGUGCUUAAAAGGAGCCUGCACGCUCCUCUCAGGGUCAUUGCCAUUUUGAACAGGGGUUGACCCCUGCAUGUAGGUAUAGUAAUAAACGUUCUUUGUUCUUGCAA